CCACAGUAAAUCCCCGAGUCUAGGAAAGCUUCAGCAGAAGGAAUGUCACUCUAGAAAAAAGGAGAAUCUGGAUUAGAAAGGUCCAUAUAAGAAUUUGCCCUGCACGUCCACCCUGUUGCCUAUGGAAGUUGUUGAUCCUUUGAGCAAAGUGGAAGAGGAGGACCCAAAGAGAAUCUGGAUGAGAUUAUGAGGCAUUGCCAUAGGAUACUGUUAUGCUGCCUCUGAUUGCUCCAUUUACUCAAGUGAUGAAAAGUGUUAGGGGCCCACAGCACACCUUGGCUUUUGGUUUCCUGUGCAAGAAAAAUCAAUGCAGACUGAUGGUGUGUCUUUGAAAUAGGAUUUAUUGAUAUAAUAAAUCAGUUUAGACUCUGAA